UUUUGUUUAUCCUUUCAUCUGUCAAUGUAUAUUUGGGUUGUUUCUCAUUAUAGAUAAUUUUGGAAAUUACAGAAACACGAAAAGAAAAAGAGAAAAAGAGAGCUGUGUCAUUAUCUCAUUGCUGGAGGCAGCUGCUGUUAACAUCUUACAGCAAACACUGAGCUUCAUGGGCGACUCUUCACAAUUUGGAGAUCACUAUUGCUUCUGAGAGCAGAUGGAGCUGAGCAGCGGAUGAAAAAUCCUACCAGGUAUUGGGCUCUUACUGAAACAGGUUCACUGUACACACAUGCUUCGCAUUGAAUUCUCCCUAACACAUCACGAAAUAAGCACUAUUAGCUUCACGUGACAGAGGAGCACUUUAAAGCCGGGAGAGGUGAAACUGUCUGAGCUCACAAACCUGACAAGUGACAGAAGCGGAAUUCAAAGCCUGCUCUGACUGAUUUCAGAUUCCAGGCUGCAAAUGGCUACAUUACCCUGGACCUCAGAGCUGAAAGGCAGGUCUUGCUUCAUGGGCAAUGCACUGGUUCCUGCACUUAGAACAUCUUGGUGUUUGGUUUAAGGCUCUUGAUCACAGUCUUGAAAU
rnacentral:lncRNA from 13 species